rnacentral:rRNA from 1 species
AGCGUUAUCCGGAAUUAUUGGGCGUAAAGGGCUCGUAGGCGGUUCGUCGCGUCCGGUGUGAAAGUCCAUCGCUUAACGGUGGAUCCGCGCCGGGUACGGGCGGGCUUGAGUGCGGUAGGGGAGACUGGAAUUCCCGGUGUAACGGUGGAAUGUGUAGAUAUCGGGAAGAACACCAAUGGCGAAGGCAGGUCUCUGGGCCGUCACUGACGCUGAGGAGCGAAAGCGUGGGGAGCGAACAGGAUUAGAUACCCUGGUAGUCCACGCCGUAAACGGUGGAUGCUGGAUG